CGUUGAUGGUUGUCUGGGCAACCAGGGCCUGCUUGGUGGCUGCCUUCUGGGAGUACCGAACACGCUGUUGCACCACCCUCCAUCAGAAACCCUCCAGGUGGAAAGAAAGCCCCAGCAAUCGCCAGGAGAAUGGCCGUGUCCUGGGAGAGAGAUUUCCGACUGGCCUUGCAAGACAAGCUGCCGAUGAAGAUCCCGGAACAGAAUCCCAGCCACUCCCUGCCGGUGCUGUGUCUCCUGCAGAAGAGGCAGGAGCUGGUGGAUGUGGACCGGAGCCUGCGGGCCCAGAGGGAGGUGUUCCAGAACAGGAUGGCAGUCCUGAUGCAGCGCCGGGAACAGUUGGAACAGAAGAAGCAGGAGCUAAAGGGGUCCUUUUUCCGCUUUGACAAGUUCUUGCAGGACGCCGAGGCCCGACGUAGCCGCGGGAUGCGGAGGGCGGCGGAGGAGCGACACCGCGCGGGCCGCCAGGAGGCCGAGGCGCUGCGGCUCCGGGCCCAGCUCGCCGAUCUGCAGCGGGAGCGCGCGCGGCUGCAGCGCCGGCUGGAGCGCCUGGGGCCCGGCGCGCGGCUGCUGGAGCAGGUGCUGGGGCGGCUGCCGGAGUUCCAGGAGGUCCCCGAGCUGGUGGCGCGCUUCGAUGCCCUCGCGGACACGCUGGCCGCGCUGAGGCUCGCGGAGCGCCGGCGGCGGGCGGAGCUGGAGGAGGCGCGCGCGCGGCUGCAGCGGCUGCGGGACGCCUGGCAGGACGAGCUGCUCCGGCGGGGCCAGCAGCGCGCGCAGUUGCUGGAGCGCCUGGAGGCGGCGCGGGAGCGCACGCUGCACUGGGUACGGCCCAGCGGGCGCCGGGACCCCAGCCUCCCACCGCGGGGUAGAGCGCCAGGGUUGAUAAGAACAGAUGGGGCGAUGCUUACCGCAGCGCCAGGUUUGGCAUCAGAAAGCACUUUAGGGCACGGGACGCCUGUCGCCUGCCCUCCUCCCCUCGAGAGCGCUCACGGGAAUCCAAGUGGGUUCAGAUCCAGAACACAGCCGCUGAGAAGACGCUGCUCCUGGGCCGCGUGAGGAUGGCGGCGCUCAACCUGUUCCAGUUGGUGUGCCAGCAUCACAGGCAGCCGCCUGCCCUGGACCUCGAGGACACGGAGGGGCAGCUGGAGCAGGUGAAGCUGUUCCUCCUGGACCUCUCUGCCGUGCUGGCCAGCCUCCCCCAGAGUGAGCCCGAGACCGCGGCCCCCUAGCCCGACCCUGGUGAGUAGUGGGCGCCCCCCGAGGGGCUUCUCCUCCCGGAAAGAAGGUACACAUUUCCUGGGGUGGGGCGGAAUGGCUCUCACCUGGAGAUGGGAGGCCGUGCCCACUCAGAUGGCGGCGGGACAACACGAGGGGCACACAGCCAGCACUCAGAACUCGUGGCCGACAUGGGGGCACCCACCCCACCCCCACCACCUGGCCUGGGGCCGG